rnacentral:rRNA from 1 species
UACAGAGGGUGCAAGCGUUGUUCGGAAUUAUUGGGCGUAAAGCGCGUGUAGGCGGCUUUGCAAGUCGGGUGUGAAAUCCCUCAGCUUAACUGAGGAAGUGCGCCCGAAACUGCCGAGCUUGAGUACCGGAGAGGGUGGCGGAAUUCCCCAAGUAGAGGUGAAAUUCGUAGAUAUUCGGAAGAACACCAGUGGCGAAGGCGGCUCACUGGCCCGGUACUGACGCUGAAAUACGAAAGCGUGGGGAGCAAACAGG